UGUCACAUCCCGGGACCCGCUCCGCCGUAACACGAUAUUGUCCGCUUUGGGCCCACCGGCCCUCACGGUUUUGUUUCCGGCAGCUCAGGAGCAGCUUCCCAGUAGGUCACCCAUCCUAGGAUUGCUCUAGCAUCAACAUGCUUAACCUCGGAGUACCCAUCCCCUCCGAAGCCGCUGAGCCACCAAAAGGCCUCGUGUUAGAUUGGUGGUGGGCAUGUGCAUAUACAGCACAUAACCCCUCUCCGUUUGGCCGAUGUCACAUCCCGACCCUUAUAUUUUUACCUUAUUUACUAGCGUGAUUAUAAUAAGAAUUUUACCGUCUCGAUCAUUGAGUAAAUAGUUUAAUUGGUCCCUAGAGGGGUUUCGGGGACGAUUAUGUGCGGAGGAUUAUUCGUAUGAGGAAAAUACGACGACGGUAAAAAUAGUAAAUUUUAGCUAGUAAAAGGUAAUUUUUAUUCGGGUAUUAUUUUUCGGGGUGUUUUUAUUGUUGGAAUUUGGGUUGAUAUAGGUUGGACCGGUGGAGGCCCAACCCAUUUCUUUUUCCUCCUCCCUUUCUCUUCUUCCCUCUUUUCCUUUCUCUCUCCCCGAGCUCUCUUUUCCCGCCGGAUUUUCGACCGCCAGACCGCCGCCGUCCGGUCUCCGUUCGCCGCCGGACCGGUCCCGUUCGGUCGGUCUCCCUCCCAGCAACAUUUCUAGACCGGUGACAGCCUCCCUAGCGCCGCCGUGAGUGAGCGGUGCCGCCCGAAAGGUCCGACUGCCGUAGCUCUCCUUCGCCGGAAUUUCCUCCUCCGGCCACCAAUCCGGGCAAGCUUGGUACGGUUUUGUAGCCCUCCUCCCGUGCAACAACCCCUCCAAACAGCUCCCUCCCUCUUGAGCUAGGUAAGGAGAAAUUUGAGGUGGAAGUUUUAUGGUGUUUUUGAUGUUUUUAAUCGAUUGCCCUAGUUAGGCUUGGAAUUGGUGUUUGUGCUAGUUAUGAAAGUUGUAGAGCUUGAUGAGAGGAAGAUGCUGUUAAAAUUUCAUAGGUUUUGGAGGUCGCCGGAAUUGACCUCCGGCCGCCGCUGCCGGCGGAGCCGCCGGCGGCGCCGCCGCCGGUUGGGAGAUUUUAAUGUUGUUAAAUUUGGAAUAUUAAGGGGAGUUUAUUGAAGUGAGUUAUGGAAUUUUUGGAUGAGUUUUGGAUAGGUUUAUGAAUUUCCGAAGUGUGAUAUUUUUGGCGGGUAAUUAAUGUAGAAUCCGGCCGUUGGAUUUAAGUCGUAUUUUGGAGAUGUUGUAUUUACGACUGUGGAGUAUGAUAUUUAAGUUCGGAUCGUCCGAUGUAAGAAUAUCGAAGUUAGGCAAUAAUGAGCGUAAUUAUGGCUCUCGGGUAAUUUUGCCUAUUUUGAUUAAAUAUUGGAUAUUGGUUGGGAAAUUAAUAUUAUAUUUGGAACAGGACGUGAAGAGGCUCGAGCAGACGAGACCCCAGAUUGACAUCAGGCUUAGGCCUAAUUCGUGAGUGGACUUUUAUUUGAAAUAAUAUGCAUGCUAUGGUUCAUGAUUGAACAUUUCCUUUUGUUGGAGUUUUGACGUCAAUUAAUUUUGACGCUUUUAUUUCUCUGAGAGAGUUACCGAAAAUGGGAUUUUCGGUAAAUAUAAAUAUGUAUUUAUGAGAGAGUAUGUAUAGAAAAUGCUAGCUAGCCAUAUGUGUCUGUCCACCUUAAUGGCGUAGCAUAUAGCCGCAUUAUGGUGUGACGUGAGCGUUGGACGUAAGCGUAGUAGCCUUAUAUGAGUGUUUAAUUCAUAUAAGGGGUAUGGGCACAUAUUUAUACACCCGUCUGUCCACCUUGAUGGCGUAGUGUAGCACCGCAUUAAGGCGUGACGUGAGCGUUGGACGCGAGCGUAGUAGCCCUAUAUAGACCCAUGAAUUUAUAUAGGGAGUAUGGACGAGUGUAAAUACAUACAUAUAUUAUAGAGUCUGAGAGGCUCGAUAUUUUAUGGGAUAAAGGUUUUAUCGCUUGCGGCACGCAUUCGAUUUUUCCUUAGAAAUUACUUUGGGGAAACAUAAAUAUUUUAAUUAUUAAUUUAUUUUUGUCCACUCACUCUAACGUUAUUAAAUGUUUUCCCCUGGGCCCUUCGUUUUAAAUUGCCCAGUCUGCAGAGUUCGGGUUGGAUCUAGUAGGAGACGAGGCAUAGUCACCCGCUUUUCGGCCAGUUUUCAUCAGUAGGUUACAUGUUCAACCUACUUGUGUUUUCUUGCUUCCGCUUGUGUUUAGUAGCUCUGAAUACUUUAGAAUUUUUGUAUAUUAUGUGAUGUUCAGAAGUGUAAUAUGAAAUUUUCGAGUUAGGGUUGUCCAUCUACAAGGGAGAUUUUCUUAAUCUUUUCAGUAAAUUUUCCUUGGAGGUGGUCCCCGCACGACUUAUUCUGGGUUUCAGGGUGAAAUUCGGGGUGGGUCGUGUCAGUUGGUAUCAGGCUUAGGCCUGAUUUGUGAGUGGACUUAUAUUUUUACCUUGACAAUCCCGCUUGUCAAGGUGCUGUGGAGAAGUCAUCAAGUAGAAGAAGCUACUUGGGAAUCAGAUGAGCAAAUGAUGCAGCAGUAUCCGUAUCUCUUCGGAGGACAUGUAUAUUAAUUUCGAGGACGAAAUUUUUAUAAGGAGGGGAGAAUUGUCACAUCCCGACCCUUAUAUUUUUACCUUAUUUACUAGCGUGAUUAUAAUAAGAAUUUUACCGUCUCGAUCAUUGAGUAAAUAGUUUAAUUGGUCCCUAGAGGGGUUUCGGGGACGAUUAUGUGCGGAGGAUUAUUCGUAUGAGG
rnacentral:lncRNA from 1 species